UUUUAAAUAGACUUAUAAAAUAAAUUGAUUGGAAUUAAAUAUUAUACUUACUGUACUUUCAGUGUGAUACUUGAGACCAUUUUUCACUCGUGAGCAUUAUCUGAAUACUGAACCCUGCUGCCUGGGGCUGAAGCAUGUAACGGCUUUGCCGGGCCACCUGUGGCAUGGAGCCCUGGGCAGUUGCCCUGCUUGCCAGCCCCUAAAGCUGGCUCUGCACUUGUGACCCCCCCAACCCAUCUCUUGAUGAGUCCUCUUCCCCCCUCCCCUCUGGCUGAAACCCCAAAGUUAAGAAACAUUGAUCUAGAUGAAUUGAGUAACCGGAAAGUUUGGUUUGUUUUGUUUCAAAGAGGUGAAUAAGCCCAUAUUCUUUAUUUCAUCCUGAAAACAUCCUAUGCACAGCAGGGGGAGUAUGUAAAAAUGCAGUACACCUCUACCUUGGUAUAACCCUGUCCUUGGGAGCCAAAAACUCUUACUGCGUUAUCGGUAAAACCAUGUUAUAUUGAACUUGCUUUGAUCCACCGUAGUGCGCACCUCCCCUCACCACCUAAGCACUGCUUUAUCGCGUUGUAUCGAGGUAGUGGUAUACAACAAUUUACUCAACCCCUGUCAUUUCAUAUGUAAUAUAUAAAACCAUUCUUUUAGACAUAGAUAACUGGGAUUCUUUCCCUAAAAAAAUGGUGUCUUCAGCAGUUGUUUACCUUGCUAGUAAAGGACUGAUAGAAAUUCCUACAAGAUAUGCCUGUUCAGUUUUUCACCAGGUCAAAGUAGCAGUCAGAUCUUUUUUCUCAUCUUCCUAAGUUUGUCAGUACCUUUGAUUUUAAUUGAGAUCUUUUCCUACUUUGUAUAAAUCCUAACAUUGACCAUAGUCCAAAAAAGUGCUUAAGCACUUAUGUAGCUUUAAGCACCUGAGCAGUCUCAUUGAAGUCAGUAUGGUUACUUAUGUGCUUUGCUGGAUCAGAGAAAUUGUGAAAGGAGUAUUGGCUUGAAAAGAAUACUUUGCAGAUAUAUCUUAAAAACAUACAGGUUAAGGAAAUCUGGUCAUCUAUUCUCUUUGCAGUCCUCUCAUUGGCUCAAAGAUAAUUUUAGGGAAGGCUGUAUCUGUAACCUUUGGUUGGGGUCAGAACAUAUUCUCCAAGGGCAGUCUACUGCCUCAGUAGAGACUAGACACUCCCAACAAGAAUUUUUAGAGGAAUACAGUAUGGGUGUAUUUUGUUGCAGCUUUUGGAGAUGGCAAUGACAGUUUUCACACAUGAGUAGUCCAGCAGUUCUUUGGGAGAUGCUCUGAUAAUCCCAUGGUCUGAGUCUAUAAGAGUAUGAAAAACGAGGGUAACUUUUUGUUGUUAAAUGUUUGUUCCCUUUGGCUUUUCGUCUUGUUAUUGCGUAAUGCUGGUAGUUACUGCUAGACUGCUAUUCAUGCCAUGGUAGACAGCAGGACUCUUAGGUUUCAGAAAAGGAGAUUUGUUCCUGUCUUCCCUACCUUAUAGAGGAGUACUUGAAAACAAUCCUUCUGCAAAAAUACUCACCUAAAUAAACCCUUAAUAGAGCACAGAACUUCUCUUUUUGGUUAUAACCGUAAAUAUGAGUAUUUUCAAAGCCCUUUUAGCUCCAGUUAAUUUUUUGAACACUGAAGGGUAAGGGUUAUCUAUUGAUAAUCAUGUAACUCAUUAACAUUAUGAGUUGAAUCUGUUUAUCAGUAUAUUUUCUGUUGGACGGUAUAGUUGGCAAAUUAUCUUUUUUAGCAGCAAUUCAUCUUUCUCCCAUAUGUGUUGAAUUACUCAUACAUAGACACCUUAAUAUACAGAUCACAUUGUACAAUUUACAGUCUUACAUUUUGAUUUGUCACGCUCUUGACAGGGUAUAAGAAAAAAAAGUAACCAUUAAGAGAUCUGUUUCUCCAUUUAAAGCAAAGUUGGCCGUAUUCUGUGGCAAGAUAUUCCAAUUGAUCCCUGAGUAAAUAACUGUCACUGAAGGGACUCAUGUGUUAGCUGUUACCCUGUUGAUGUUUUAUCCUACAGACUCAGGCUGCUAUCAAUACAUUCCUUAAAAUCUCCUUUUCUGGUCAUCCAUCUCCCUUUUUAUUUUUCCUUUCCUUUUAAAGGGCUGUGUUUCUCUUCACUCCCUCUUUAUUUUCUAGUGUUUCCUUUUUAUCUAUCUGUCUUGGGGAAGCGUCUGGUGAAACUCCCCGGGAAGUACAUAGGAUUGUCCUUCCAUUGGCUCCAGACCACUGAUGUUUCUCCUUCAGUUGACUUGGCUUGCAUCACUUGCUGGAGAGCACCCCACAUCCUUGUGCUUAUCCCUGUCUCUUGUCUAGGGCUGAGCCUGCUGAUACUCUCCAACAAUAAAGGCUCAUACAGUACAGGCCCAGCCUGUGGUGGUACUCUUUCCUGGCUAAGUAAGAAUAGAAUAGCAUUAUAUAUAAUCAGAACUGUCAAUCUUACUUCGCUACUUAUGCUAUUUCUUGCAGUAGGGAAGGACUUUGAGAAUAAUAGCGUAGGCAAGGCUGGCUCAGUGGACGUUUUAAGUGUGUCUGAGGUGGUGAAAAUGGAAUUCACAUGACGUUACAUCAGAUAAAACCUUGAUGUAUGUGCAGCUCUUACAAGUGAAAUGUUAGCUGCAGAGAAGUCUGAGACUGAUUUCAUUUGUUCUGCGUGUAAUAUGUAUGUUUUCUUUUUAACCAAAUCAAGCAUACUGUAUUUUGGCAUGCGGGGGAGGAGGGUGAGAGAUGGGGUUAUUAUGAGACAUAGCCAUAGUGAAAUUCCAUGGAAUUGUUUUUCCUUCCCUAUUCUACUUUUCAUGCACACACUGCUAUGCCCUAUUUUAUCUUUUUUAAUAUCUUAUCUCAGAAAUGGGAUCCAUUAAUAUUCAUUUGACAGACUCAUUCUGACACACUUUGGAGAUGUUCAAGUGGUCAGUGAGGGGGCAUAAAUACCCCAUCCCUCAAGGCUUUUUUUCCUCCCCUUUUUGCCUUACCUCAUUCUCUUGCCCACCCCAGGAACUUUGAAAGAGCAUUUUUUUUAAAAACCUUGCAAAAGAUUCAGUGGGAUAGUUUAAGUACUCUGAAAGCUUGUUUUAAAGCCUUAUCUGUACUGGAGAAAAUAACAUGGAUUAUUGGGAAGGCAACAGUCAGUGUAGCUUAUCUGAAAUUUGUAAGGAUAAACUCCAUAGUUCAACCAAUUGUGUAGCAAUGUGGACGGUGCCCUGUUAACCGAUACCUGUCGGAGAUUACAAUAUCCUCAGCUCGUGAAUGGUCUUCAAUUUGUUGAUUGUGAGUUUUCCCUCUCUGCCCUUGGUGGGCCCUCUCUCCGCUUCUGGUUUCCUCUCUUCUCAGAAGAGCCCUCCUGUAUCCUUUAGAAAUACUUGUGGUUCUGCAUGUCUUCAUCUGUUGAAGCACCUGUAGAUCAUUAGCUGAAACUGUACUCUGUAGCUUGUCCACUCACCUCCAGUAAUGUCCCCUGCUCUAACUGUGCCACUGCUUGCUUUUGGUUCAUCAGAGUGAGAAUGUCAGCCAUAAUGUGGGCCUGCCACAGGGAGAGUGGAGUUGGUCAAGGUGCUCUGUUAGCUUUGGAGUGUUAGGGAGAAUCUGGUACUUAAGGUACUAUAAGGAGCGCAGCUAGUAGUUGUGUUCUUCUUGCUGCCUCUUGAGCUGGAGAAUCAUCUGUGGAUUGAUGUCUGAAGCAUUCACUGUAACAAACUACCUGUAGUUUGUUAGAGCAAGAGGAUUGACUGAUGAACCAUUAAUGACUCAUUGAGUAGCAGACAGAGGGGGAGGCAUUAGUGUAGGUGUUCUGUCCAAUGGUGGCAGUGGGUUGGAAGGUUAAUGGUGUUUAAGAAAUAGAACCCUAACUGGUGGUUUGUCACAAAUUGAGGACCUUCAAGAACAGGCCGGAGGGCAUGGCUCAGUGGCAUUUCUGUGGAGCAGGAUAUACUGUAAGGAUGAAGACAGUGGAGAAGGGACUCUUAGUUGGCAAGUAAGGAUAUGUGCUGGCUUAGGUGGCAGUCAAAGAUAACUGUCCACAUCUUUAUUUUAGGGCAGCCUUUAUGUGAAUUCAAAUCAAUGCAGGUGGUUUUUGAUCUGCAAGGCCACAUUCAUUUAGGGUUUGCCAUGAUGAAUGUGGAUACAAGGGCAAAACUUAAACCAGUUGGGGAGGCGAGUGUGGACUCAAGUGUUGGUAUUUCCAUCAGUGCUGUACGACCGUUUGAAGAGCAAUAACUGAUUGCUCUAAUGUAGACAAGCCCUUAUUUUUGGCAUGCUUUUUAUCAUUUUUAUAACCUAGUGACUGCAUAGAAAAUUCAAAUAAUCCUAGGAGAUUUUUUUCCCCAUUCGUUGAAGAUUAUGUGCUAAGGAAAAAUCUUACUUCUUGGGACAGGGGUUAUAUUGUAGGACAACGCAUAAUAUAAGAGGUUUGUGGGUUAUAUCCAUCCUAUAAAAUGCUUGUGUACGAAACCAUCAGGUCUGCUCUGUUUGCGUUGUAGAUGAUAAAACUUUAAAGAUGCCGUAUUGAUUUUUGAGGUAGGGGGAGAGGAGAGUUUGGGGAAAGAAGGUAGGAAUGGUGAGGUUUCUGGAAAAAAUCCUUCCCAGCAGAAGACUUCAUCUCGUAUUAUGUAACUCACCAGGGGUUGGAAACCUGUUCUAAUUCAGCAAAAGACUAUAAGUAGAGGGAAAUAUUUUCUUAGCUGCCUUGCUUUCCUUAAACUAUCUCAUAAAACCAUUAUAUAGAUUCCUUUAAUACUCCCUUUGAAGUUCUGUGAGAGUAAUGUUCUGUUAUAUCAGAAAACUGAAUGCCUGGCAUUGACAUGCAGCCUGUUGAUAGAUAAUAGUUGUCUCCUCAGCUGCAGUCCACAUCACCAAUUGUUAUGAAAUUGAAGAGGUUUGAAACUUGUAAGGACCUGUGCUCUCACUGCAACUUGAAAAUUGGAACAGUUGAACUGUUCUGUGAGUUUAAACUGUUCUAGAGCAGGGAGUUGGACUAGAUGACCUGCUGAGGACCCUUCCAACCCUGAUAUUCUCUAGGUCUAUGAAAUAAUUUAAAAAUAAAACAAAUGGAUUAUAGUCUGAUCUGUAUGAAAUGAGGUGGUGGUUCCUUUCAAAUAUCUGGCAGAUAUAUUCAUGUCAAUAUGACAUUAAUUGGAAACCAUGUUGGCAGUGUCAGCAGAGUUUGAAGUUUGAAUGGACAGGGAUACUGAACUAUAACCUCUUAUAUUAGAAGUGUCAAACAUAUAGCCUGUGGGCCACAUCCUUCCCUUUUUAAUUUGAUAUGUCAGUGACACUUCUGCAAUUAACUUUAAUCGCUGAUCACUUUUGAUGAGGAAGGCAGUGGGAAUGAUUGCUGUAGAUGUUGGGAAUUGCUACAGGGAAUAAAGUGUAGAGAAAAGAAUAGAGGAGGCUCUCAGACAAUAAAGGGGCAGAGAAAUAGAGUAAGGAGGAUAGGAAAGAAAGAAAGAAA